rnacentral:rRNA from 1 species
GAUGAACGCUGGCGGCGUGCCUAAUACAUGCAAGUCGAGCGAAUGGAUUAAGAGCUUGCUCUUAUGAAGUUAGCGGCGGACGGGUGAGUAACACGUGGGUAACCUGCCCAUAAGACUGGGAUAACUCCGGGAAACCGGGGCUAAUACCGGAUAACAUUUUGAACCGCAUGGUUCGAAAUUGAAAGGCGGCUUCGGCUGUCACUUAUGGAUGGACCCGCGUCGCAUUAGCUAGUUGGUGAGGUAACGGCUCACCAAGGCAACGAUGCGUAGCCGACCUGAGAGGGUGAUCGGCCACACUGGGACUGAGACACGGCCCAGACUCCUACGGGAGGCAGCAGUAGGGAAUCUUCCGCAAUGGACGAAAGUCUGACGGAGCAACGCCGCGUGAGUGAUGAAGGCUUUCGGGUCGUAAAACUCUGUUGUUAGGGAAGAACAAGUGCUAGUUGAAUAAGCUGGCACCUUGACGGUACCUAACCAGAAAGCCACGGCUAACUACGUGCCAGCAGCCGCCGUAA